CAUGGGGUAAGUUAUGUCUUAUAUACAAUUCUUCUCUUUGCAUGAGUUCAUGUCUUAAGUAACCAUGUUUUUUAUUACUUGAAUGCAGUUACUUGUACAAGUACUUGAAGGAAACAAACAGGGCUGAGUAUGUGUCGUUUGUGGAUCCCAACAAAAUACCAGCCGCUCAAGAUGGCAGUACCUCUUCACAACACAUUGCUAAUCAGUUGAAAGCAUCAAACGGAGACAGCAUAUGCCUUAUCCCAUACAACACUGGUGGAGUGAGGACGUACCUUUGUAUGAGGGGUAAUCCAAAACGACCAACUUUCAAACAGUUGACGGGUAAUCUCAAACAACAAGGUUGUGUUGAAUGUGGAUACUGUGUCAUGCGGU